rfam:Oryza nivara chromosome 2, whole genome shotgun sequence.
AACCACACUAUCAAUGAAUGGAUUCACCCACGAGAUGACGUGGCUGUUUUACAUAGGACGAGGACGUGGCAUCCUAUUACCAGCCAUUGCACGAAAUUAAUAGGAUAUGCCACGUUAUCAUCCUAGAUGGAACAACCACGUCAUCACAUGGGUGAAUCCAUUCAUCGAUAGUGUGGUU